AUAUAGGGCACUCUGUCUUUAAGUAGGGAUAAAUUACUCUAAGAGAAAUGAAUCCUAGAUACUUUUCCCUUCAAGUCAGCAUCUUGU
rnacentral:pre_miRNA from 1 species